UUGGCGAUGUUUUUGGUUGGAAAGUAGUACUAAUUGAAUGUACUAAACGCUGCCAUAAUUGAUCUGUCAGUUAUUUCAUCAAAAAUAUA
rnacentral:sRNA from 1 species